GUUUUACCCCAAAGAGGAGCCUGCUGCACACCGCAAAACCCCAGCAGCUGCCAGGAGAACAAGAGAGCAUUCCCAAUUCCGUACAAAUCCCGAUAAUCCUUCUGUGUACCUGUUUUUAAGGGAGAGAAGAACAAAGCUGGGUUAUUCAACAAAGCUGGCACGUGUUGAAGCAAAGGGACCUGACUUGUCUCUCUGACAAGUGCCUGCACAUCGCAGGAAUGAGACCCAGGCUUGAGGCUUUCAGCCACUUCUGCUAUCAGGUUGAGGCAAGUAGGAAGUUGCUUGUGCAAACAUCAGCCCAACCUGACCAAACACCACCAACAAAUCCGUCAGCGGCUCCAACAGUCCAUGGCUUGCAGGACAGAUCAUAAUACCACGUAAGGCCUGUAUGUGCUUGGUUUGGAGCCUGUACAUCCACUGAGCCACAAAGGGAAGAUGGAGAAGCCAAGCAGCCAUUGCUGGUUCAGGACAAGCAAGGGUUGGCCAUUGCAUCUGCAACGGCUUAAAGAAUGUAUGUUUUUUAUGGGUCUUACAAAUUUAAGAAAGUUCAAAAUAAAAGGUUUGCCCUCCAGCAGGACUUUGCAGAGAUGCCUUCCCUUGAUGGUUGGGGCUGCUGUUUGUGGCGUGCAGGCGGAAGGUCAAACACUUCAGGGGGAGGAAAAAAGCAGUGAGCACUCGAGGAGAACCUUGACACUUGCAGGUUUUCUGCUGCCACGCUCCCAGGAGAGCGGGCCCAGUGCCGAGGGGUGGCAGCAGGGGGGUGGCAGUGACGGGCCGGGCAGCUGCAGUCCGGCAGUGGCUGCAGCGAGGAGGGCAGCGCUCAGCCUGCCGCCACCAUGUGGGGCUUCCAGGGGGGCUCCCGGCUGCUGGCCACCAUGCUGCGGGCACCACGGGUCCCCCGGGCGGGGGUCACCUCCAAACCACCUGAACACCCCAUUUCUGCUGCUGAGCAAGCCAUCGCGCUAGCUGUGAUGUUUACAUGCUUCCUGGCACCAGCAGCCUGGGUCUUGGCACACGUGGAGCACUACAAGAGCAGAGGAGAUUAAGAAGUGGCCAGAACCACCUACACCCCCAGGAGCAGAAGUGUGAGCGAAGACAAGAUCACAGAACAGACCUUCAUCCGGGAAAGAAUCCUGAGUUUGUUCAUUAAAAUUCAUGUUUGCAUUAAACACCGGGGUCUGUUGGC